GGCUGGUCCAAGUGCAGUGGUGUUUACAACUAAUUGAUCACAACCAGUUACAGAUUGCUUUGUUCCUUCUCCACUCCCACUGCUUCACUUGACUAGCCUAAA
ensembl:misc_RNA Y_RNA Y RNA